GGGAGGCAAGACCUUCAUU
rnacentral:misc_RNA from 1 species